rnacentral:rRNA from 1 species
GAUCAUGGCUCAGAUUGAACGCUGGCGGCAUGCUUUACACAUGCAAGUCGAACGGCAGCACGGGGGCAACCCUGGUGGCGAGUGGCGAACGGGUGAGUAAUAUAUCGGAACGUACCCGGAAAUGGGGGAUAACGUAGCGAAAGUUACGCUAAUACCGCAUAUGCCCUAAGGGGGAAAGCGGGGGAUUCGCAAGAACCUCGCGUUUUCGGAGCGGCCGAUAUCGGAUUAGCUAGUAGGUGAGGUAAAGGCUCACCUAGGCGACGAUCCGUAGCUGGUCUGAGAGGACGACCAGCCACACUGGAACUGAGACACGGUCCAGACUCCUACGGGAGGCAGCAGUGGGGAAUUUUGGACAAUGGGCGCAAGCCUGAUCCAGCCAUACCGCGUGAGUGAAGAAGGCCUUCGGGUUGUAAAGCUCUUUCAGCCGGAAAGAAAACGCACGGGUUAAUAACCUGUGUGGAUGACGGUACCGGAAGAAGAAGCACCGGCUAACUACGUG